rnacentral:rRNA from 1 species
AUGAUCAUUUGGCAAUGGGCAGGAUUUAGAGGAUCAUUUACCACCAUCAUCAUUUCCCUCGACAAGUACUCCUACUUCUGUCUACAUGAUUUAGAGGAUCAUUUUACAGUGGGCAGGAGUACAACACAUCUAAAUCCUGCGUACACAAUAACACAAUACAGGGAGUACUGCUGGAGUAGUUGCAGUUUGUACUCCUUGAGCAGUACUCUAGAGCAAAAGCUACAGAUUUGCCCAGCUUUUCUAAUGAUUUACUGCUACAGCUACAGAUUACUCCUUGCCAUCACAAAUGGUACAAUACUCUAG